GAUGAACGCUGGCGGCGUGCCUAAUACAUGCGAGUCGAGCGAACAGAUAAGGAGCUUGCUCCUUUGACGUUAGCGGCGGACGGGUGAGUAACACGUGGGUAACCUACCUAUAAGACUGGAAUAACUCCGGGAAACCGGGGCUAAUGCCGGAUAACAUUUAGAACCGCAUGGUUCUAAAGUGAAAGAUGGUUUUGCUAUCACUUAUAGAUGGACCCGCGCCGUAUUAGCUAGUUGGUAAGGUAACGGCUUACCAAGGCAACGAUACGUAGCCGACCUGAGAGGGUGAUCGGCCACACUGGAACUGAGACACGGUCCAGACUCCUACGGGAGGCAGCAGUAGGGAAUCUUCCGCAAUGGGCGAAAGCCUGACGGAGCAACGCCGCGUGAGUGAUGAAGGUCUUCGGAUCGUAAAACUCUGUUAUUAGGGAAGAACAAAUGUGUAAGUAACUGUGCACGUCUUGACGGUACCUAAUCAGAAAGCCACGACUAACUACGUG
rnacentral:rRNA from 1 species